UGACAUGACCUACGAACUAGGUUGUGAUAAAGUGGUAUAUAAGAACCUCGAAUUAUUGUUAUUAUUUAUUUACAUCCUUUUAGUGCUAGCAUAUCACUGACUGUGAUAUCUUUUUCUGUACAUAGACGUAAAAGUCUUUGAUUGGAAAUGUUUAAAUUAAGUCAUCAUCUGGUUUCAGUGUUAAUUAUACAAAGGCAACCAAAGAGAAAAGCCUUCUUAUAAUAUAUCAUUGAAAUUUUGAAUUUUGAAUAUUUUCUAAUCAAUUUUUAAUUCUUGAAAUUUAGUUGGUCAACCAUAGUUUAUCAGUAUCUUGUUUGGUAUCUCUGCUUUUGCCAAAAGUUGGAAAUGUUUACAUUUUACAGAGCACAUUAUCAAAAUCAAAGCAUGGAAGAAAUCAAAAAAUGAUUUGAAAGGAUUUAUUUAAAUCAGUAAAAAAAGUUGACAUUUUUAAAAAUAAAAUAUGUUAGCUAUACAUAUGAAUUUUAAGUACUCUAUUUUAAACUCAGACAUUUUGACUACUAUAAUUUUUAUCUUGGAUAUCUGAACUACCCUGUUUUUGAACUAGAUAUCUUUUUACUUGCUUAUCUUGAAUACCAUGUGUUUUGACUUAGAUAUCUGAGCUACCCGAUGUUUUAUCACAAAUAUCAUGAAUUACCUGCGUUUUACUUGUUUCUCGGGAAUGCCAUGUGUUUUAACUUAGAUAUCUGAGCUACCCGGUGUUUUAUCACAAAUGUCUUGAAUUAUCUCAGUUUUUAUCCAGAUACCAUGUGUUUAACCAAGAUAUCUGGAAUCCCUAUUUUUUCUCCAUGUUUUUUUCACGACAUAUCUAUUAACGUAACAAUUUUUGGGGAGCGUCUUGAUUUUUACUCGAAUUCCUUUUUUAACAUAAGUAUUUUCCCUUAAACUUCCUUCGUAAUUAAACUCUGGACUUGUUCACAAGAUAGGACAGACACUGGACUGGUUCUUAGGAUCAGACAGGAUACUAGACUGGUUCAUAGGAUUAGACAGAACAAUGGACUGGUUGACAGGAUUUGACAGGACACUUGAAUUGACUUGUUCACAAGAUUGGUCAGAACACUGGACUGGUUCAUAGAUUUUGACAGGACAUGACAUUGGAUUUGUUCAAAGGGCUGGACAGGACAAUGACCAGGUUUACAGGAUUGGACAGAACACUGAACUGGUUCACAGGAUAAGAUAGGACACUGGACUGGUUCACAUGAUAAGAUAGGAUACUGAACUGGUUCACAGGAUAAGAAAGGACACUGGACUGAUUCACAGGAUAAGAUAGGACACUGGACUGAUUCACUAAAUUGGACAGAACACUGAACUGGUUCACAGGUUUAGACAGAACACUGAACUGGUUCACAGGUUUAGACAGGACACUGGACUGGUUCACAAGAUGGGACAGAACACUGAACUAGUUCACAAGAUUGGACAAAACAUUUGACUGGUUCAUAGGAUCAGACAGAUCACUGGUCUGGUUCUUCGGACUGGACAGGACAGAAUACUGGACCACAGGUACUAGUCUCGUCUGUCAAUACACCUUUAUAUAGGUGUAUUGACAGAUGAGGCUAGUACCUGUGACUGGACUGGUUCAUAGGAUUAGACAGGAAACUAGACUGGUUUACAAGAUUGGACAGAACACUGGACUGGUUCAAUUGUUUGGACAGAACACGGGACUGGUUCAAUUGUUUGGACAGAACACAGGACUAGUUCAAUUGUUUGGACAGAACACGGGACUGGUUCAGUUGAUUUGACAAAGUGACCCUUCGUUCUAGUGCUUAGUGUCAGAUAAGAAACUAAGGCAACACAUGCAGAGAAGUCAGUCAUCAGGGGAAAUCUGUUAUAUCAGUCUAAGUUUUAUUAUCAGGAAAUAGGAGUGUUUCUAUCCUUACUCCUGACUUUCUGGCACACCUCUUUCCAUCAACAAAGCUAGGAGAUUAUGAAAGGGAAGCAUGAAAUUAAUGGAGAAUUGCCACCAGAAACCAUAUGCUCCCUUGUAAUAGGGUUAUAAAGUGUUCUAAACUUCAGUUGGAAAAUAUGGUGAACAAAUUUGAGUCACACCCUGUUCACAUUAUUAUAUACAACAAUUUCCUAGAUGUCUGUAAUGUCACGAUUUCCUGUACACUGUUGUAAGGUUUCAGCUGUGAUCUAGAUAAAGUCAGUACUGUUGCCAAUUUGCUACAAAGGUUGUUCUGCCUGAAGUUAAAGUUGCAGAAAAGACAUAUUAUUUCUUUUUUUUGUUCUUUGUCAUGUUUAAUUUGUGAUAGGAUUGCUAUUAGUUUUAACUUAAUUGUAUUUAUACAAAGAUAAUAUACAAAAUGUGUGUGAGUAUUUAAUUGUGUUUAUUCCAAGAUAAUAGAUAACAUUUGUUACACAACUUAUAUAUAAUUAGAAACACACGGUCGUGACACAACUUAUAUAUAAUUAGAAACACACGCUCGUGACACAACUUCAAGCCCCUCCUGGUGAAUCAACAUUCUUUAAUACACAAAAUACAAAUGUUAUACACGGCUUAAGCUUAAGACAUAGUAUAUGUAUUAAAUAUGAUACUGUUCUUAUAAAUAAGUCUUGUAUUUACAUACAUGUACAAUCAGUGAUAAAGCAGGCAUAUUCAUUAUGUUAUAUUCUUCAUAUUGUUUAUUGAUGCAAAAUUAUUAAGUUUUCUUUCUAAAAAAAAUAUCUUUUUAUAUUUUAUUACUUUUUUUAGAUUGAGAAGUAGAAAUAAUUCAAAAUUAUCAACAUAAGCUGCUGACCCUAGAGUAAUAUAGUAUAAUAUGCAUGUCAUUAUAUACUAAGUAUAUAUGCAUAUAAAUAUAAUGUAUUGUUGAUCCUAAGGUUUAUGAACUACAUGUUCAUUUCAUAUUUGUACUCGAUUCUGUAUUGAAUAUGGCCUAAUUUGGAUCAUUUUGACUUUACUUUGUCAAUAAAAAGGUUGAGAUUAAAACUGAUAUAAUGUUAUAUUCUACAUUUAUCAUAAAUGAGCUGGAAAUAAAAGAGAAGGAAAAUAUAACCAA